AUUGAACGCUGGCGGCAGGCCUAACACAUGCAAGUCGAGCGAGCGGCGGACAGGUGAGUAAUGUAUGGGGACUGCCCGAUAGAGGGGGGUAACUACUGGAAAAGGUAGCUAAUACCGCAUACUAUCGGAUAACCCAUAUGGGAUUAGCUAGUGGGGGGGGUAAUGGCUCACCUAGGCGACGAUCCCUAGCUGGUCUGAGAGGAUGAUCAGCCACACUGGGACUGAGACACGGCCCAGACUCCUACGGAGGCAGCAGUGGGGAAUAUUGCACAAUGGGCGAAAGCCUGAUGCAGCCAUGCCGCGUGUAUGAAGAAGGCCUUCGGGUUGUAAAGUACUUUCAGCCGGGAGGCGUUACCGACAGAAGAAGCACCGGCUAACUCCGUGCCAGCAGCCGCGGUAAUUC
rnacentral:rRNA from 1 species